AUGCAAACAGUGCCAACAAAGAAGAAAAAUAAGACAAGUGCAAAGAAGCCAGAAUGGAUGUCCAAAGAACUUCUAACUGAGCUAAAGCUCAAAAGUGACAUGCACAAGAAGUGGAAAAGGGGAGAAAUCACCAAAGAAGAAUUCAAACGUAUAGCCAACUCCUGUAGGGAAAAGGUUCGCAAGGCUAAAGCGCAAAAUGAGCUCAGGCUUGCCAGGGACAUAAAAAACAACAAAAAAGGUUUUUUUGCUUAUGUUGGUAGAAAAAGGAAGAAAAAGGAGGCGAUAGGGCCACUGCAAGGAGUAGAUGGGGUGAUGGUGACAGGGGAUAGGGAAAAGGCAGAACUGCUUAAUGCCUUCUUUGCCUCGGUCUUCUCACAAAAAGAAAGCCAUCUUCAACCUCAGCAACAUGGAAUGGACGAAGGAUUGGGGGAAAUCCAACCCCAAAUAGGGAAACAAGUUGUCCAGGAACACCUGGCCACUCUAAACGAAUUCAAGUCCCCAGGGCCAGAUCAGCUACAUCCAAGAGUAUUGAAGGAACUAGCGGAAGUUAUUUCAGAACCACUGGCAAUCAUCUUCGAGAGUUCUUGGAGAACAGGAGAAGUCCCAGCAGAUUGGAGGAGGGCGAAUGUGGUCCCUAUCUUCAAGAAGGGAAAAAAGAACAACCCAAACAAUUACCGUCCGGUCAGCCUCACAUCAAUACCAGGCAAGAUUCUGGAAAAGAUCAUUAAGGAAGUGGUCUGCAAACACUUAGAAACAAAUGCGGUCAUUGCUAAUAGUCAACACGGAUUUACCAAAAACAAGUCAUGCCAGACUAAUCUGAUCUCUUUUUUCGAUAGAGUUACGAGUUGGGUCGAUACAGGGAAUGCCGUGGAUGUAGCAUAUCUAGAUUUCAGUAAGGCCUUCGACAAAAUCCACCUAAUAGUAGCAUUGCCUAGUCACGUUUGACUAUUUUGUUUGCAAGAAGGUCAUGGGGGAUCUUGUCGAAGGCCUUGCUAAAAUCAAAAUAUGCUAUAUCCACAGAAUUUCCUGCAUCUACCAAGCUUGUAACUCUACCAAGCCUGUAACUCUCUAGUCCCUCAUGAAUGUGGAAGACCUAUUAUACUCUUGCAGGUGGGCAUCCAACCACUGUUUAGAAAAUGCUUCUGAAAGAGAGUUCGCCACCUUCCAAGGAAGUCUGUUUCACUUUUCAAAGGGUAAGCACUGUCCAUUCUCACUGGAAUCACAUGCUGGCUUCCCUUUUGACUAUACUGUCAAAUGAAUUAUUGGCCCAUGGGAUAUUUAGACAACUUCCAAAAACCCAGCAACUCUGCAUAUCCCAUUUCUACUGCUUGUCUUUAAUGGGGAAGGUAGAAUAUGGUAAAGAUAGCUGAUUUUACACAGGAAACUGCUGAGUCAAGCCAUCUAGGCUAGUACCAUCAGCUUUGACUAGAGAAAUAGUUAUGCAGAGUUUCAGGCAGCACAAAAUCACAACCUACAAAAUUCCUGGAAAUGACAUAUUUUUUCAGAUGUGGGUAGGUGAAGCCCAGUGGGAACAGAUAUUGUACUGCAAAAUACAGAAAUUAAACACUUAAAACACAUUAAAAUAGGCUUUAAACACUCAUAAAACCAGGAAAAACAAGCCUAGAAUUCAUAUUUGGAAACAGUGAAACAGUAAUUUGUGUGACUUCCUUAAAUUACGAAGGCCUCUGACAACGAAGUUUCUUUUUGCAACAUCUUUUCCUACCCAUCAAGCCUCUUUUUUCCUCCUCAUCUGCUGUCUACUCAUUUAGCAUCGUCAGCCCCUGGAGAAACACAGAUUUUCGGUAUCAAGUUGUAGCAGUAUGUCUACAACAAACAAUAUAAUGAAAUUUGAGUUGGAAAAGAGGAUGAUUCUGCAACAGGCAAGGUAAACAACAGCUUCCUUCAGAAUGACUUAUAUAGCUUGGGUGAACAGCAAAAUGAAAAGAUAAGGAAAAGCAAAUAAGACUACCUCAUCAGAUGCUUCCAAUAUGUUACAAAAAGCAGAGCUCUGUAAGUUUGGUCACCAAAAUGGAAAUAAUAGAAAUGGAGACUGAUAAAAAAAAAACAAUCUUGGAUAUAUAUGGGAUGAAACUUUGAAAUGAUCUAAAUGCCCUCAUUAUGCAAAGCUUACUGACAUGGUUGUUUAAUUUCACAUGGAUGUGUUUUAGUUCUGAAUUCUAAAAAUUGCUGAAACACAUUGAACUUUUCUUCUUUGUUGUGUUAUCAGAACCUAUUCCUGUUUCCAUUUUAUUUCUGUCUCUGGUAUCAAUUUUUCUGUUAAUGAAGGAAUGCCUGGAAAUAGAAAAUUCCUAGAUAAAACUUAAAGUAAUUUGUUGGAUGCAGAAAGGUGAUACUGUGGAUAUCAGUCCUGAGGGUAUAGGAGUCAUGCUGUAGUGAUAGCUCAGUUAAUAUAGUAGAUAUAUUUCCAGGCAUUCCAAGUUCUCCAGCUAAUUCUCUGACAUUCUUCUCUUGUAAGUUACCAUAGAGCCACCCUGGAGGACCUAGCAAAUUCCUGGAAAGGAAACAUCCCUAGGAUUUUUCUAGGUCCUCCUCCAUAGCAACUCCAGAGUAAUGUCUAGUGGAAGUUGUUCAUGCAAUAGGACUCACUAUUAUCCAUGAUUUCCUGUUGAUACAAGGGUCAUGCUGCACUUAUAUUAUGGUUUAAUUAUGGCAGAUUGUUUGGAUAUUCUAUGCAAAACAGGCAGUGUUGAAAUAUUUUCAAAUAAAUGAAUACUAAUACCAACAAUGCCCGAUACAGUUAUGUCAUAAAACAUUUGUCUGAAUCUUCUCUCCUUUCCAGAUAAAUCCGAAGCGAGGUGCCUCUGGCAUUGAUGCAAUGCAGCAGUAUCUGGGCCAUUGAUCCCAUUUUAAAAGCGUUAGUAAUUAUUUGAUUCUAGUGGAAAUUAAGGCAUAAGCUGAUUUACCAAAAAAAACCCUGUUGCUAUUCGUACAACUAAUUAAAUACCCAAUGAAGUGCACAUUGUUUGGAAUCCAAAGGUCACAGCUGUUCAGGACAUCAGCUACUAUAAACCAGUUAAGAAGCGGUCAGUCCAAUUUGCACCUUGAUAGAUAAUGAUUGGGGUGUCCACAAGAGAUCUCUAAUUUCCUGCUGAUGAAAACCUGCCUGUCCUAAUAUUCAGAGUUAUCUGUCUUUCAGAGCAUUUGGGGCUCUUGCCAAAUUUUCAGAGGGACUUGUAAAAGCAGAUUGUUCCCUUACAAGACUUGCAAUAUAAAAGAUAGCCACUUUCUCUAUUACAUAAGCUAAAGCUGUUUCCAUAUGGAAAAGAAAUAUAAUCAGUUAUUGUGCGCUUGAGAGCAGGUUAAACAGAAAUAAAAUAAGGGAUGUGUGUUUCUGCUUGUUGUUCUGAUGGUGAAAAUCAUAUCCUGCAAUUGCCUUGGCUUAGCAGGGACAGUCCUGAUUAGUUCUGUGUUGUUCCACUUUCACAUUGUAUCCAUUUGUUUUUCCUUUAUCUGCUGUCUCCAUUUCUCUUCAGCUGACUUAAGUUGCUACAGAGUUGUUUAAAAGUAAAAAAAAAAAAAAAAAGGAAAAAAAGGAAAAAAAAGGUAAUUUGCAAUCAAUUGACUCACCAGAAUGGAGACAACAAGAUCUUGCCUUUUCCAGUACACUCGGGCCAAAGCAAUCUGUUGCGGCCUCUUCCAGCUUCUCUCUUUUUCCUUUUGCCACCUCAAUGACACAUUUAUAUUACUUGGUCACACAUGCCCUGGUUUUCAUCUGUGAAAUAUUGAAGGGUGUGGAGGAUGCCUACAAGAGAAGUUAAGCAUUCCUAUUGUUGGGAGGUAAGAUCUAUUCCUAGGUUAACACUGUUGCUGCUAAGUAAUAAGACUCUGAACCUAAAGUUUGAUGAGGAGAUAAUUAUGGUCAGGAUCCUACCUCAAGGUAGUGUAGAAUAAUUCUCCAUGUCUAGUGUUACAUAGUGAUUACAUUGAUUAUGCUCUGCAACCCAUGGGUUGAAUGGCAAUUUCACACAAUUGAGUCCAUAUCUGACUGUGCCAGUUCACGAGCACCUCUAUUCUAUGCAUAUUUCCUAUCCAUGUGUAUUUGAUGUGUGUGGCUGGCUAUCUCAUACACAUGCAUAUCCAUGAUGGCAUCCUAUAUACAAAACUGUCUCCUCAACCUUGAACUUAGUUCAGCUGUUCUGCAUCAAACAAAAAUGUUCAGUUGCUUCCAUAGGAGAACUUACACAUGACCCAGACAUUGACAGGAUUCCAGCUGUUUGUAUAUUACUUGAUUUUUCUCAGCAAGCACUGCCCACUCAGUGGCAUCCUGUGAACCUUUCUGGGUGUAUAUUUCCUAAGUCUAUUUCUGAUGGUGUUGUGCUGAUGUCUACACAGUCCAGCAGAGUGGAGAUUGUCACCUUGCCCUCUGUGCUGCCAUCACCAAUCCCAAUUGAACACAGAGCUCUAUAAAAGCUCUUGACUGCCAGAAACUCUUCAUUCUGACAUUAACAGUGGUGUCCACACAACCAGGAAGAAGAAAAGUGAUUUCUCCACAUUCUUGGUCAUAUGGUUGACUCGUGAUGUCCGAAUAAGGCAUCUCUGGAUGCCAGGAACAAAACUCUGUAUCUGGCUGAGAUCUGCAGGAAUGGUCACAUGACCAUAAUCCUUUUCCUUUUCCAUGCACUGAUGAGUACAAGGAAAUUGUGAUGGUGCCAGUGUCCGAUCCGAACAGUGGAGUGGUCCAAAUCCAGCUGUCCAGACUACCCCAAAGCCACAGGAUAUUCUAGAGUAUCCCUGACCUUGGUUUAGCUAUGGAAAACCUAUCAUAUUAAUUGGAAGUAGUCAAACAUUAUGGGGACAGUCAGAAAUUAAUUUUGAGUAAAUGCAAGUUUUCUUGUCCAUACCAACCCACCCUAAGACAGUUGUAAUGUGCGAAUGAUCUAAGAUAUCUUGUGUUGAUGAGGAUGUCUGUGACUGAAGUUAAUUUUGACAUUUACAGUAUUAGAUAGUUACUCACAGAGCAUGCAAAACUGCAUUUUUGGAUGGCAAACCACAGAAUUCCUCAGCUGGUGGUGGCCAGUGGUGUCCAUUCAGAGGUGAAACAAAUCCACUUUGGAUUUUACUGUAGAUAUUAAAGGAGCUGUCCAAUACAGUGGAUUCUAUUUACAAGACAGGUUUAGCACCCUGGGUAAUAUCAAAGUCUGGGCAUGCAGGUAAACUGCAGAAUUAAUGUAGUUUGAAUCCAUUUUAAAUGCAGUGGUUCAAUAUUAUAGAGUCGUGGGAGUUGUAUUUUGAAAUGUCAGCGAGGGCUGUUUCCGCCCCAACCUAAAAAUCCAGGAUUCCAAAAGCUCAAGCCAUGCCAGUUAGUGGUGUCAAACUGCAUUAAUUCUACAGUGUAGAUACAUCUUGUAAUAAAACUCAGAGUUGGCUUCCUCCACCCAUGAUGUGGAAGCCAGAAGCCACCAGUCAUCACUUUUAAGACAUACAAAAAAAUAGUAAGUAUAACAUGCCCAGCUCUAGCUAUUUUGUUGCCAUUCUGUUCUCACUGGGAAGCAAGGUAUUCUUAGAAACUGUAUAAGUUUUCUUUGAGUCCCUCUUCUUCUCUCUUACCAUCUGAUCCUGAUUUCCAUCCAAUGGUGAUGAGGCAUUUAUGAUAGAGAUGACUUUUCUGCCAAUGACACAUCUUCAUCUCCAUUACAAAUCAGACUGAACCAAGAACUGCUUCAACUUGCCGUUCGAUACACCGCAAUGAAUAGCUUGGCAUUAUUGCAAGCUGCAUUCUCCCACCAGGGUCUGUACCUAGGAAAAUGAAAAAAUGUCACCAAUGUCUCA
ensembl:lncRNA